GACGAACGCUGGCGGCGUGCCUAAUACAUGCAAGUUGAGCGCUGAAGGUUGGUACUUGUACCAACUGGAUGAGCAGCGAACGGGUGAGUAACGCGUGGGGAAUCUGCCUUUGAGCGGGGGACAACAUUUGGAAACGAAUGCUAAUACCGCAUAAAAACUUUAAACACAAGUUUUAAGUUUGAAAGAUGCAAUUGCAUCACUCAAAGAUGAUCCCGCGUUGUAUUAGCUAGUUGGUGAGGUAAAGGCUCACCAAGGCGAUGAUACAUAGCCGACCUGAGAGGGUGGUCGGCCACAUUGGGACGUGGACACGGCCCAAACUCCUACGGGAGGCAGCAGUAGGGAAGCUUCGGCAAUGGACGAAAGUCUGACCGAGCAACGCCGCGGGAGGGAAGAAGGUUUUCGGAUCGUAAAACUCGGUUGGUAGAGAAGAACGUCGGUGAGAGUGGAAAGCUCAUCAAGUGACGGUAACUACCCAGAAAGGGACGGCUAACUACGUG
rnacentral:rRNA from 1 species